GACGGAAGGUGCAAGCGUUGCUCGGAAUCACUGGGCGUAAAGGGUGCGUAGGCGGCGCGGUAAGUCGGGUGUGAAAUCUCGGAGCUUAACUCCGAAACUGCAUUCGAUACUGCCGUGCUUGAGGACUGGAGAGGAGACUGGAAUUUACGGUGUAGCGGUGAAAUGCGUAGAUAUCGUAAGGAAGACCAGUGGCGAAGGCGGGUCUCUGGACAGUUCCUGACACUGAGGCACGAAGGCCAGGGGAGCAAACGGG
rnacentral:rRNA from 1 species